UAGAUGCAAAAGCCCGAUAGAGAUAAGCAAUCAUAAAUUAAUUUUCAGCUUUUUUCUUAAAGCUAGUGAUACAUGAAGAUGAAAAGGCAAAUUAUAAAAAGACAUGCAUAUAUCCCAAUAGACAUCGAUUAUGGAUAAAUAGCAAUCCCAUUAGAACUGAUUAACAACUAGUUUAAGAAGAAAUAUUCUAAAAAAAUGAUAUGAUAUUUCACUAGAAAAAUGAUAUGACAGAAAAAAACACGAAAAUAGCUAAGGGCCUAUUUGGUAUCGCUUCUAUUUCUGGUUUUCUAAUAAAAACAAAAUUACAAAUGGGAAGAUAAAAAGCAUGUUUGACAAUAUUAUUUUUAUUUUUUAUCCUUUAAAAGUUAUUUUAUUAUUUGUAGAAAAAUAAAAAUAAGAAAUAUUUACUUUCAAUAUUUUCAAAAACAAGAAACACAUAUUAUUACCAACACCAUCUCCAUCACUAUUUGGCGCCCCUGCCACCACCACUGCUAUCGUCAGCAUUGUCGUCACCACUACCACUCUCAUCAUUGUCAUCAUCACCCCACCUCUAAUACCAUUGUCGACGCCUCCGCCAUAUCGCCGACGCAUCCACCGCCAUAUCGCCGACACAUCCACCGCCAUAUCGCCGAUGCAUCCACCGCCACCACCAUCUUCACCUCCCCCCACAUUAUUGGUCACCACACCCCCACCACUAUCAUCACCUCCAUGACAUGGUCGCCAUCAUCAUCACCUCUAUUACACUACAACCAGACUUGCCACCAACACCACUGCCAUCUCCAUUAGCUUUGUUGCAACUACCACCAUCUCCACCACCAUCACCAUAUUUGUUUUUAAAAAAUAAUUGAGUAUAUUAGACAUGUUUAUAUUUUAAAAAUAGAAAAUAUAGAAACAAAAUUUCUAAUUUUUAUGUUCCUAAAAAUAGAAAAAUAAUUGU
rnacentral:lncRNA from 1 species